rnacentral:lncRNA from 1 species
UUCGUGUACAACUUGUUCUCCAGUAACCUCCUCAGCACUUCUCGUACAUGUCCGACGUGUUCCUCCAUUGACCUGGAAAAAAUCAGUAUAUCGUCCAGGUAGACAAAAUGGACUUGUUAAGCAAGUCCCGCAGUACGUCAUUGACCAAGCACUGGAACACGGCGGGGGCAUUAGUCAAUCCAAAGUGUUGUGACUCCUACUCUGGCCCCACCUCCUCCUGUGCAAUCAGCUCAACCACCACAACCCGUGCCCUCUCCUCCAGCUGCACCCAAUCCGCCCAAACGACUCUGCACCCAUAAAAGGCCCCUCUGCACUCAGGCCAGUGCUUGAUCUAACUGGUGUUUUGGCAACACGUACCGUUGACCCAGCAUCUCUCCAGGCUCCCCAGCGACUCCCCAGCGACCCCCAGCGCCUCUCUGUGUCUCCCUGCGUCUCCCUGCGACUCCCUGUGACUCCCAGCAUUCUCCAGCGUCUCCCCCUGCUCCUCUGCAACCUUCCUAGCCCCUCUUCCUCUGCCCUCUUCCUCGGACGGAUUUCCCCUGGCCUCUGGACACUUGGACUCCCCCACGGACUCUCGCCCCCGGAUCUCGGACUUGGUUCGUCUGCCGCAUCACGCACAUGUACAACACCCCCUCCACUGAUAUUUCAUACACGCACUCACCCUCACGAUUCACACUUCAUUUACAUCCAACAUCUGCAUCCAAGACAUUCCCCCACGCCCCCUAUAGGUUGUCUCGGCCUCCCUCCUCAUUUAGUUUCUUCCCUCCUGUCCUUUUUUUGUUUCAUUAAAAUCGUCUGAGUUACUUUUAAUUCCCGUGUCUGUCUGCCUUCUUUGGGGUUCCGCCACACUUGACCGCCAGUCCUCUUGAGCUUAACACAAAGGGCAUUACUAAAUAUUCAAAAUGGCCUAAAGGGGUGUUGAAUGCUGUUUUCCACUCAUCCCCCUCCCUGAUUCUGAUGAGGUGGUAGGCAUUCCUUAGGUCCAAUUUUGUGAACACCGUGGCUGAGUGUAGGGGGCUGAAGGCUGAGUCAAUUAGAGAGAGAGGGUACUUCUUUUUCACGGUGAUGUCGUUCAGUCUCAUAUAGUCA